AGGUCAUUGCUAUUGGAGUCCGAUUUAGCCAUGCUAGUUGCACGAGUUGGUACUCGUAGCAGAUAGCUCAGUAACACGUGGCCAAACUACCCUAUGGAUCCGGCCAACCUCGGGAAACUGAGGCUAAUCCGGAAUACGGCUCUCAGCCUGGAAGUGGCGAGAGUCAGAAACGCCCCGGCGCCAUAGGAUGUGGCUGCGGCCGAUUAGGUAGACGGUGGGGUAACGGCCCACCGUGCCCAUAAUCGGUACGGGUUGUGAGAGCAAGAGCCCGGAGACGGUAUCUGAGACAAGAUACCGGGCCCUACGGGGCGCAGCAGGCGCGAAACCUUUACACUGCACGAAAGUGCGAUAAGGGGACUCCAAGUGCGAGGGCAUAUAGUCCUCGCUUUUCACCACCGUAAGGAGGUGGUAGAAUAAGUGCUGGGCAAGACCGGUGCCAGCCGCCGCGGUAAUACCGGCAGCACGAGUGAUGACCGCUCUUAUUGGG
rnacentral:rRNA from 1 species